rnacentral:lncRNA from 1 species
AUGUGCAAUAUGAAGAACAUUAUGGGUUUCAAAGUCCAGAGAUGGUGGCGGCAAAGGGAGAGAGGGGAGAGAGGGGAGGGAGGGAGGGAGGGAGGGAGAGAGGGGAGGGAGGGAGGGAAGGGAGGGAGGGGAGGAGAGGGAGAGGGGAGGGAAGGGAGGGAGGGACGGGAAGGGAGGGAGGGUAGAGAAGAGAGAGGGGAGGGGAGGGAGAGAAGGGAGGGAGAGAGGAGGGAAGGGAGGGAGGGACGGGAAGGGAGAGGAAGGGGAGAGAAGGGAGGGAGAGGGGAGGGAAAGGAGGGAGGGAAGGGAGAGGGGAGAGAAGAGAGAGGGGAAGGAAGGGGGAGAAGGGAGGUAGGGAGGGGAGGGAAGGGAGAGAGGGGAGAGAGGGAGGGAAGGGAGAGAGGGAAGGGAGAGAGGGGAGAGAGGGAAGGGAGGGAGGGAAGGGAGAGAGGGGAGGGAGGGAGGGAAGGGAGAGAAGGGAGAGAGGGGAGGGAGGGGAGGGAGGGAGGGAAGGGAGAGAGGGAAGGGAGAGAGGGGAGAGAGGGAAGGGAGGGAGGGAAGGGAGAGAGGGGAGGGAGGGGAGAGAAGGGAGGGAAGGGAGAGAGGGAAGGGAGAGAGGGGAGGGAGAGAGGGAAGGGAAGGGAGAGAGGGGAGGGAAGGGAGGGAGGGAAGGGAGAGAGGGGAGAGAAGGGAGAGAGGGGAGGGAAGGGAGAGAAGGGAGAGAGGGGAGGGAGGGACGGGAGAGAGGGGACAGAAGGGAGAGAAGGGAGAGAGGGGAGGGAGGGAGGGAGGGAAGGAGAGAGGGAAGGGAGAGAGGGGAGGGAAGGGAGAGGGGGGAGGGAGGGAGGGAAGGGAGAGAGGGGAGGGAGGGGAGGGAGGGAGGGAAGGGAGAGAGGGGAGGGAGGGACGGGAGAGAGGGGACAGAAGGGAGAGAGAAGGGAGCGAGGGGAGGGAGAGGAGGGAGGGAGUGAGGGCAGAGUUGAGCUUCCUGACCGCCUGGUGGAGUCGGCCCGGAGGCUGCUAACCGUCUCCCAGACGGCAGGAGGCUGGAGGGGCUGGAGGGGUGGCUGGGGUCCCCAACUAUGCUGA